ensembl:lncRNA
AGUGCCUGGGGAUCUGAAAGAGACGACUGACUGAGGUGGUUGAUGGGAUUCUUACAGCAACAAAGCACCAUCUUGGAAGCAGAGAGCCGCCCUCACCAGAACUGAAUGCAGGCACCAUGACCUUGAACUUCCCAGCCUCCGGACCUGUGAGAAAUAAAUUUCUGUUCUUUAUAACUUAGCCAGUCUCAGGUGUUUUGUCACUGCAACUCCAGUGUACUAAGUCACAGUCUCAGGAAGAAAGCAUGCGUUCCUCUUUUCUCCCAGUUAGUGCUGCCAGGACCUCCAGAACUCCGGAUGGAUUCCCCUGGCUGACACUUGAAAAGAUUUUUGCUCUAACUUAAUAGAUAGGACAGACUGGCAAAGCCAUAGUUAAAUCAGUUGGAGGAGCCACAAAUCAAAUCAUCUUCACAGAAGGGUACAAAGCUAACAAGUCCCAAUGUCCCUAGGGGGACUCUUGCUGAGGACACUUAGUGAUGAGACAUUGCUUGUUCAGGCUCAUACUCCCUUCUGGGAGAAACGCUAUACCAGGCUUCCAACUCCAUCUCAUCUCACACACGGAGGCUUCACCAUCCUGGCAACUUUACUGUGCUACCUUUGACCACAAAACAGAGGAACAGUGACAACGUGAGAUUCAAGACUCUGUGAGCUGGACAGCAGAUGGAGGCACACUGGGACGUAAUCCUGGCAGUUAAGAGACGUGUGAAUGGGCUGAUGGGGAAUGAUCUUUUUGUGAAGUUGUUGUUGGCAACACCUUGUGGCAGAAGAAACAGCUAAGUGAUGGUCCCCACAGCUGCCAUUCUCCAGUCUUGAAGUUGGUGGAUGACCUCCCUGUGACCGACCCCCUGUGGGCUAACAAUGUGGAAAACAGUAAUGGUCAAGAAACCCUCCCUGUCCUUUUGUGUUCCAGGCAGAGAGCCACCCAUCCCCAUGUGACUAAGAGAAGACUCAUGGAUGAGCUCCUUAAGAACCUAUGACAAAGCCAGACACAACCCCUCCUAGGGUCUGAAUGUUUGUGUCCUUCCAAAUUCGUAUGUUGAAAUCCUAAGCCCCGAGGUGAUGGUAUCAGGAAGUGGGUCCUUUGGGAGGUGGUUAGGUCAUAAGACUGGAGCUCUUAUGUAUGGAAUUAGAGAUCUGACAUUUUUAAAAGGCCCCCGAGAGUGGCUUUGCUCCUUAAGCCAUGUGAGGAUACAGCAAGAAGGUGCUGUCCAUGAGAAAGCUGGCCCUCACCAGACACCAAUCCUACAGAUGCCUUGAUCUUGGACUUCACAGCCUCCAGCACUAUGAGCAAUAAGUUUUUGUUGUUCUAAGCCACCUAGUCUAUGAUAUUAUCUUAUGGCAGCUUGAACAGACUAAGCCAACCCUCCAAAUUUUCAUUCUUUGGUUCUCACUGACUAAUCUGAACAAAUUGCUCAUCAACAUAACUUGUUAAAACUUAAUGAGGCUUCUCUCCUUCCCCCAGGCCAUUGAACUUUGUCUUGCCCCUGAGCUUAACCAAGCACUAAAACACAGAACAUCUCUCCUCAGUGAUCCUUCCCCGUUCAAAUUGUCUGUUCACACCACCUGCUCAUCCCACUCCCACACAGCCACUCCUCUCUAGGAUUCUCUAUGCCUCCGUAUAAAAAGAGAAACCCUUGGCCAGGCACAGUGGCUCACGCUUGUAAUCCCAACACUUUGGGAGGCCCAGGUGGGUGGAUCACCUGAGGUCAAGAGUUCGAGAGCAGCCUGGCCAACAAGGCGAAACCCUGUCUCUACUAAAAAUACAAAAAAAAAAAAAAA